rnacentral:lncRNA from 1 species
CCACACAUACAAGACACCAAGCGGAAGCAACAAACACAAACUUGAAAGAUAAAGAAGAUAGAUGACAUGACACAAAGAGAAUACGAAAUGUAGCAACUAAAGAGUGUAUCAAACUCUAAAACCUCUACAAAUCACAUUAACAAGCACCAAGUUCUUACGCAAACACAAGAGGGACUCGCUUCACUCAAGCACUCACGUUUCUAGCCGUUUCACAACACAAGUGGAACCUCACUUGUGAUAUUCAAAGUUGGUGGUCUACUCUCUUAUUGAGAGGAAAAUGGUGUUUCAAUGUUACAAUCUUCAUUCCAAAGAUAAGCUAACUAAGCAAAUAAGACUAAGGAGUUCUACUUAUAGUCUAUUACAAAAGAAAUGGGAAAUGACACCUUUACCCUAAAUGAAGGGGCUGGGUUUGGAGUGUAUAAAUGGGGUUGCGUUGUAGUGUUUUUAUGACACUCAAGGCAUGUCUUCACACUUUAAUACAUACACUCCCUUGGACACUCACGUUUCUAGCCGUUUCACACCACAAGUGGAACCUUUCACUUGUGAUAUUCAAAGUUGGUGGUCUACUCUCUUAUUGAGAGAAAAAUGGUGUUUCAAUGUUACAAUCUUCAUUAAAAAUAAGCUAACUAAGAAGAGCAAGAAUAAAAGGAUCCUAUAAAUAACCUAUCACAAAAGUCAUGAGGAAAGGACCCUUCUACCCUUAAUGAAAGGGGUGGGUUUGGGAUGAAAAAGUGGAAAGCUUUGGUGUGUUUUGUAACACCUCAAGGCAUGUCUUCACACUUUAAUACAUACACUCCCUUGGAAAAACUUUAAGACAUGCUCAAACACAUCCAUCUUCAUGAAUGUACCUUGAAGACAUUGUAGUUCCCGAGCUUGGCUCCUAGGGAAUGGUCUUGAGCUCUCAAUACCCGUUUGCCACUCUUUUGCAAAGGUUUUCACACUCUUCCCUAUUCUUGGAUAUGGUUUGAGUAUGGCUGCUUGUGCUUGUACCCUCUUUGCACUUGUAUCACUUGUAAUCCUUGUUCUCUUUACGCUUGUAUCAUCCUCUCCAUCUUGAAAGGAAUUUGUCCUCAAAUUUACACCAUGCAAAACAAAAGAGAGGGACCUAAGCACACAAUCGUCAUGGUAUGAGGGUUAGCAUUAGUGUCACAAAUUAUUUAAUCAUGUCAAGGGGGUACACUUUUAGAAUACAUCCAACAAUCCUUUGUUAUGAUCAUGAAACACUUACUACAAGCAUCACAAAGGACUUGGCUAAGAUAGACAUCAAGGGAAGAGGAGUGCAACACAAGACCAUCACAUAUAUCAAUAAGCCAAGGUUGUUCUCAUUUGAAAUACAUCUACAGGUCCUUUGUGUGUGACAUGAAAAACUUAGCAUGAAUGGGACAAAGAAUAUGGUUUUGGAAAAUACCAAGAGAUAAGGAAACCAUAAUGGUAUUGAUGUCCUUACUACACCCAAAAAGUAAGACUAACUUUGGCUUAGGAACCAUAAGAUACAUUUGUUUCAUUACCUCCACAAAGAACCUCAUCAAAUAUGGGCCACUAUUGAUACUAAGGUCCACCUUACCCAUAUAUCAUUAUCAUUCAAACAAGGAAACUAGCCACCAAACUUACUACCUCUACACAAUACACAUUCAAAAUUAACAUGGUUAUCAUCAUAGGUAAAGAAGUAGUAUAGGAAGGAAUCAAGUGUAAAGACUUCAUGCCGAGGGGGUACACAUUUAAAAUACAACCUGCAAUCCUUUGUUUUGACAAUGAAACAUUUAGUAUGAGCAUUAAAAUGAUAGGGAUAAGGCAAACAUAAAGGGGGAAUGAGCACAAACUGGGACAAUUCCUUUCCCACCCCACUAAUGCACCAAGAUCAAAUGGAUGAAGUAGCCAAGUGCAUAAGCCGAGGCUACUCAUUCCUUUUACUAGAGAAUCAAGCCCACAAUCACCCAAGGCAUUCCUCAUAACUUUGACAUACACAUGAUCAUUAUGAACAAGAAUAAUAUCAUGGAUUUCAUCACAGAAGUUGAAAGGACCAUAUUCAUUAUCUAGAUCAACAUUACAAGCAUCAACACUAACUUGAAAAUUUUUAAUCAUACCAUUUACAUGUUCAAGUAGUGAGCUAUUCUUAGGAUCACAUUGAUCAUUAUACACACCCGAAAUACUAUCACGGAAGGACGCUUGUACUUCUACACUAUCUAUACCCAAAACCACAUCAACUUGGCUACUAAUAUCCAUAUCACAACUUUUUAAACUUAAGGGAGUGUAAAGUGUACCAAUUUUACCUUGGUUUGUACUAGGGCAUCCCACUUGCAUUGAAUUCUCGUCCAAGAACGCAAUUGGAACACCAACAUGUUUGGGAUGGAUUUAUUUUGGAUUUUCCUUUGGGAAUAUCUCAUCUUGUACCUGCACAUAAAAAGAACCAAUGCUAGGAAAAAUUCCUCACCAUCAAAUUUCUGUCCAUAUUGAGGUUUGGAGUCAUUCUCCUCGGAGUCUAACUCUCCCUCUUUUUUCUACUUGGACGGGGUAUUUCCGGGUUAGUGUAGCUUGGGAAGGAGACAUUGGAUUUAGUAGAGUGUAGGGUCUUUUAAUUGGAGGAUUUUGGAGUGGAGGAUUCGGGUUUAGGGAUGGAAUUUUGGUUCCAAGUCCUCCUUGUGGAACUUGGUGGAGUGAGGAACGACUAGGUCCAUCUUGUUCCCGGAUUUGGGAGUAAAGAUUGACUUGGUUUGUAGCACUUGGUGGAUACAAUCUUUGGUGAAAGGUCUUGGGAGUAAUAGUAGGUGAGAUGUUUUGAGGGGUAUGCGGUCGAGAACUCCUUUGGCUUUCCACCCUUUCCAACUUUCACUCGUUGAGGCCACAUCCGAACCCAACUUCUCAACAUUUGCCUUCAUCCUAGCCACACCUCGAGACAAGGUUUCAAGACUAGCUAAGAGGACAUUCAUAAUAUUAUUGUACACGGUGGGAGCAUUAGAAUUUUUGGGUUCAAUCUGCAAUUGUACCAGUAAAACAAGCAAACUUUAGUUCAAAAUACGCUCACACAUUCUUCACACUCGUCUUUCUCACUUGGUUCUUCAAGUGUUGUAAGCCGUCUAUCAACUUGUGAGAACUUGGGAAUGAGUCUACUCUUGAGUUAGAAUGGAUUUCCAUUUUGAAAAAUCAAGGAAGUUUCGUACGCACUUGAACCAAGAACAACUACGAAUUGUAAAUGAGCAAAGCACCACAAAGAACGUUGGCACGAAUACGUACUCGAAAACUAGUUCACAACUUAGUAGGUUGUUACUUAGUUGCCAACUAGUGUAGGAGAAAACUAGUAGAUACAAGGAAAGAAACUUGGAAGGUCCUAUGACUUGAGUUUUGUUGUUGAUGUGGCCUACAAUUUUAAUUUUUGGCCGUUUGGUGUUGUUGAUUAGUUGAUGUUUGAUGUUGUGCAACUUGAAUGAUUCAAUUUUGUUUGUUUGGUGAGGCUUUUUCGGUUUUUGGAAUGAAAGACAAGGCCUUGGACUCUUUUUUAAAAGGCCAAAAAGGUGUCAAUAAACUUCUCACCAACUUGCACCAAAAUGGCAAAACACCUUUUUGCUUUGGCUUUGUCCCUUUCCUCUUUUGGUUCUUCUUGAAAGAGGUUUUGACACUCUUUGGGUAAGGGAGCUUUUGGGAGGUCUUUUGUUGAUUUGCUUCUUUGGGUGUCGUCUUGAAAUUAUUUUCAAGACAAACACAAGACUUAACCUCUCUCUUCCCCUUUUCAAAUCAAACAAAUCUUUUGUUGAACAUUCACCUCAAGAACAUUAUGAACAACAAUAAGAACACUUAUGAACAACAACAAUAUUCAAGCCAUCCAACCCUUCAACAACACUAAACAAAGGCUCAAAUCGUGGAACUUAGACUCAAGUGUGCUAGGGAAACAACAAGCUAACCCAUGAAACUACUUAAGACAAGCAAAAUAACACCUAAAUAUAUGGUUCAAAUUUCGGCCAAGACACACAAACAAGACACAAUUUCUCUGCCAAGGUACAAAAAUGGGAACAACUCUUUUUUUGUGAGAUUUUUUAUUUUGGACACCUCUUCUAGUGUUUGGAAACAAAGAUCUAACACUAUAGCACACAAAACACAGAAAAUUCAAGACCAAAAUUUCGGCCAAGAACAAAAAAAAUUGGACAGCUUCACUAUUUUUGAGUUUUCCAGCUUUUCAACACCUUUUUUUUUUUUUUUUUAAUUUUUCAAGUGAACAAGCCCAAGAUUGUUCUCCUGGGAAUGAAAU